rnacentral:rRNA from 1 species
ACUCCUACGGGAGGCAGCAGUGGGGAAUAUUGCACAAUGGGCGCAAGCCUGAUGCAGCCAUGCCGCGUGUAUGAAGAAGGCCUUCGGGUUGUAAAGUACUUUUCAGCAGUGAGGAAGGUGGGUAUGUUAAUAGCAUAUUCAUUUGACGUUAGCUGCAGAAGAAGCACCGGCUAACUCCGUGCCAGCAGCCGCGGUAAUACGGAGGGUGCGAGCGUUAAUCGGAAUUACUGGGCGUAAAGCGCAUGCAGGUGGUUUGUUAAGUCAGAUGUGAAAGCCCGGGGCUCAACCUCGGAAUUGCAUUUGAAACUGGCAAACUAGAGUACUGUAGAGGGGGGUAGAAUUUCAGGUGUAGCGGUGAAAUGCGUAGAGAUCUGAAGGAAUACCGGUGGCGAAGGCGGCCCCCUGGACAGAUACUGACACUCAGAUGCGAAAGCGUGGGGAAGCAAACAGGAUUAGAUACCCUGGUAGA